AUCAUUUUCAGCUCCUAAAAUUCGUCCUUCACCCUUUCUCCAUGGAAGAACAUCAAGCAAAUUUCAAAUGGUCAUAACUCACUCAAUUUUGAUCCGAAUUGAGCGAUUCUUGUGGCCACGGAACGAGGGAAGGAUCCUCUACUGAUAUAUAGUAUCAAUUUAAGGUUAUUGAAAGCUUGAAGGGAGUAUUUUGAUGGUUGUUCAUGGAGGAAUUCAUUCAACCAAAGGGUUAUCCCAUCAAGAAAAGGGAUGGUAUGAUAUGAUUUGAAGAGUUAAGCUUCCGAAGUUUUAAUUCUCGGAAGUCAUUUGUAUAAGAAGAAAAAGAAGGUUUUUAUUCUAGCAGUCCGCAGUAGUCUAGAUAUUUUAACUAGAAUUUUGUAUAACGCGUUUUUAACUCUGAUAUUAUUUGUAAAUGGGGUCACAUGUAUUUUAAUAUAUGAAAUAUGUUUUGAUUUGCGAAAAAAAUUUACACAGGUUUUUAGGCUUGCUACGGGAUUUGGAGCUACCACUCCCAUUCCCUAGCGCCGGUCGCGGCUCAUAAAUUUGGG